AAAUGCUCUGGGCACCUGGCUGUGGAAGGAAGAAUAGAAAUUGCAAUAACAAAAUCCUAAUUCUAAUAAAAUAUUAACAAUGCUCUAAUUAGACCAUAAUAAUGUGAAGAAAGCUUAAUCAAAUUCAAAAAAACCUCAAAGAAAUUUCAAACAAAUAAUAAGAAUUCUUAAAAAAAUAUUAGAAUGAUCACAAAUAUCACUCAAAUACAUCUCAAUUAAAUCUUAAUUUAAUUCUAGUUAAAAUCCUAUUGAACUUCAUUCAAAAUUUAGGCCAAAACUAAUUGAAUCUUAAAUCCUAAUAAAAUCCUAAACCCUAAACUAAAUCCUAACUAAAUCCUAAACCCUAAAUCAAAUCCUAACCAAAUCCUAAAUCCUAAAUCCUAAAUAAAAUCCUAAUCAAAUUCUAAACCAAACCCUAAUCCAAACUGUAAAUCCUAAACCAAAUACUAACCAAACCCUAAAUCAAUUCCUAGUAAUUCCUAUAACAAAUUAAAACCUCAAUAAUUAAUGAAUAAACCGUUGAUCUUAACUCAAAUUUUUCAAACUUCUAAAAAAAUAAGUUAAAAAAAAACACAAAAAAAUUAAAAAGGAUUGAAGUUGCCAAAUUGUUGAUAACCUCAAAAAUGUGCUCGGGUAUUGAUUGGCCUCCUUCUCUAAUCUUAAUGCCAAUCUUCCAAAGCUAAUAUCUCUCUUUUGCUCCAUUCGAUUGAUCUCAAAAUUCUCAUACACAUAGAAAAUUAAGUCUUAUAUCCUCUCACAAAAGUUUCACUCCAAUCUAACUAGUAGAUUGCAAGCAAUCUUAAAAACUCCCACUGAACCUAAAAUUCUACUUUCUAAGACCUUGACCCACUUAAACCUCAAUAUUCCUCAAUUCAACCGUU
rnacentral:lncRNA from 1 species